rnacentral:rRNA from 1 species
CAAUAGCGUAUAUUAAAGUUGUUGCGGUAAAAAAGCUCGUAGUUGGAUUUCUACCGAAGAUAGCCGGUCGGGUCUUCGACCUUGUAUCUGGUUUUGUCUUUGGUAUCCUCAUAGGGAACGUUUCUGCGCUUUAUUGCGUGGUGCGGUAUCUAUGACUUUUACUUUGAGGAAAUUAGAGUGUUCACGGCAGGCAAACGCCUUGAAUAUAUUAGCAUGGAAUAAUGACAUAGGAUCUUCGUCCUAUUUUGUUGGUUUCUAGGGCUAAGAUAAUGAUUAAUAGGGAUAAUUGGGGGCAUCUGUAUCAACGCGUCAGAGGUGGAAUUCUUGGAUUGCGUUGCGACAAACUACUGCGAAAGCAUUUGCCAAGGAUGUUUUCAUUGA